rnacentral:rRNA from 1 species
GACGAACGCUGGCGGCGUGCCUAACACAUGCAAGUCGAGCGGAGAUGAUGUGAGGAAGUUUUCAGAUGGAAUCACAUUAUUUUAGCGGCGGACGGGUGAGUAACGCGUGAGCGACCAACCUUGCACAGGGGGAUAACGGACCGAAAGGUUCACUAAUACCGCAUGAGACCACGGUGUUGCAUGACACAGGGGUCAAAGGAGCAAUCCGGUGCAAGACGGGCUCGCGUCCGAUUAGGUAGUUGGAGGGGUAACGGCCCACCAAGCCUAUGAUCGGUAGACGACCUGAGAGGGUGAUCGGCCACAUUGGAACUGAGAUACGGUCCAAACUCCUACGGGAGGCAGCAGUGGGGAAUAUUGGACAAUGGGCGCAAGCCUGAUCCAGCCAUGCCGCGUGAGUGAUGACGGCCUUCGGGUUGUAAAGCUCUUUUGUCCGGGAAGAUAAUGACUGUACCGGAAGAAUAAGCCCCGGCAAACUUCGUGCCAGCAGCCGCGGUAA